CUUUUGAAGUUUGGAAUGAAGUU
rnacentral:snRNA from 1 species